AUAGCGGUUGCUUAAUUAAAGCGCCAUUUGUAAGCUCACAGUCUACCUCGGUCUGCGUCACGCCAAUUUCGGAUAAACUCAUGUAAACUUGCACGUCUGUAUGCGAAGUAUUCAAUAAAGACUUAAACAUAUUAUUCACCUGAGUACACAACACCAACACAGAAAAAAAUGAAUAUAAUUAUAUGAUAACAAUUUCCGCACGUAAUACAAACAUAUACAAAAUAUGCAAACUUCGCAAGGCUAUAUUUUCCGUAUUCUACAAGAUUUCGUAUAACCAAAAUUUGAAAUUUACUAAUUUUAAUAAGUUCUUCACGGGAAUUUACUUUUUUUGCCUAGAUAAAAAAUUAGUCUAACAUGCAAGUUGUCUAUUAUAUAGUACUGAUUGAUUCAUUAAUUGAGCCUUUAUUUAAUGAAGGCCGAAACACAGAAUAGUGCAAAAACACUAAUAAACUUGUGGUCCUCAGAAAGUAUAUAACUAAAUAUACAGAUAAAAUACAAUAAUAUAGCUAUAGUGCUUAAACUAAAUGUACAUGAUUGGCUGAUUUGUGGUCAAGUGGGUUUAGAUAAGUGUAACCUGCGAUCAGGCUCUAUUCCUGAUCGCAGGUUAAGAUAAGUGCAAUCAGUAAUGUAUUCCGCCGCGGAGUAAAGGUCGUGGGCUGUUGGCCAAAAUUAUUUCGCUUCGUGGCACCCAUGUGGGAAAUACUUGGUUUGGGGUUUAUUUGAAAGGCAUAUAGGUACAUCACUACCAAAAAUUAAAAAGUUCCCAAGCAAAACAAGUUGCCCAAUCCCGAGAAAAUUGGUGAUCAAUGAGCAAAAAAAUGGGAAAUUCUGUAUUCAAUUACAAUAAAAAUGACUUGCAUCAUCGGAAAACGUACAAAAAACCGCAUAUAAGACUUUUAAACAGUUUUUUUAUUUUUCAAAUAGUAUUUGAGUUAUUGCUGUUUUAAAUGUGAAAAUUGGACCAAAAUGUCGCAAUAAGGACUGGGUACUAGGUUAAAAACGCGUUUUUGACAGCGUAUAACUCGAAAACAAUUAUAGAUAUAAAAAACUGUUUAAAUGUCUUAUAUGUAGGUUUUUGUAAGCUUUCUGAUAAUGCAAGUCAUUUUUGUUGUAAUUGAAUACAAAAUUUUACAUUUUUUUGCUGUAAUACAAUUUAAUAGAGGAUAAUCACUGAUCACCCAUUUUCUCGGUGUUGGGCAGGUUUUUUGCUUGGGAACUUUUUUGGGUAAUUAAGCAUCUAUGGUUCUAUGAAUUGAACCACAGAAAAUCUAUUUCCCAGGAGGGUGCCACGAAAUUGCUUUUCUAGGCACUUUUUUGCACAACAGCCCACGGCCUUCCAACCGGCUACGUAGGAUAACAUAAAUUCUCAGGAUGGAGUCAAAAGUUUAGGCAAACUCUAUAUAGAGCUGCUAAACUGGUAUAGAACGUUGUUUCUAAUUAAUUCAAUAAACUCGUUGUGUCGGACAACGAUCGG